GACGAACGCUGGCGGCGUGCUUAACACAUGCAAGUCGAGCGGUAAGGCCUUUCGGGGUACACGAGCGGCGAACGGGUGAGUAACACGUGGGUGAUCUGCCCUGCACUUCGGGAUAAGCCUGGGAAACUGGGUCUAAUACCGGAUAUGACCUCCUAUCGCAUGGUGGGUGGUGGAAAGAUUUAUCGGUGCAGGAUGGGCCCGCGGCCUAUCAGCUUGUUGGUGGGGUAAUGGCCUACCAAGGCGACGACGGGUAGCCGACCUGAGAGGGUGACCGGCCACACUGGGACUGCGACACGGCCCAGACUCCUACGGGAGGCAGCAGUGGGGAAUAUUGCACAAUGGGCGAAAGCCUGAUGCAGCGACGCCGCGUGAGGGAUGACGGCCUUCGGGUUGUAAACCUCUUUCAGCAGGGACGAAGCGAAAGUGACGGUACCUGCAGAAGAAGCACCGGCUAACUACGUG
rnacentral:rRNA from 1 species